CCAUCCUAUAUUAGUCUGGGUAAAUGGAAGAGUAGAAAAGAAAUGUCAGAAGUGCAACGAUUAAAAAAUAUGAAUUUUAUACAGCAUUAAGAGAAACAUAACAAUACUUGAAAAGAUGAAUACAUUCUAGAUAACUCUUCAAUAUCCGGACUCCUUAAAACACUUGAUUUUUCCUUUUUCAUAAUCAAGUGUCAUUUUUUCAGUUAUAGAUCCUGAUUAGUUUAUAAUUUCAUGAUUUCCAAGAAUGUGCACAAAACGAUAGGGACUCCAGACCCAGGAAAAAGAAGACAAAAAGAAUAAGAGGGGGACAAAAAAGGGGCAGUAUGACCACAAUUAUUAUUUCAUUAGUUUGCUCAAAAUUAAGCUAAUAAAUAAGAAUGAUGGCACAAGUAUAAGUAACACUGCCAUUUGCGCAUACAUACAACCCCAUAAACCAGAUGGUCAAUCAUUUUCAUUUUCUAUCAGCACCAUGAAAUGAACUAAUAUAUACUGUAUCAAAAAACUAAAAUUUAAAGGAACAGAACAGAAAUUCGCGUUGCCACAGAACUCUUUGUUGAUCUUGAAGAUGACCAGAAGAAAAUAGAGGAGAAAAUAAACAUUAUAGUAGUUUAUUUUCCAAAUGAAGGACAUUUUAGAUGCAUAUAACUUUCAUACAUGCAUGUCAAAUGUGAAAGUACAGAACUUUAUAGUAUAACUAAUAUGUUUCAUACUUGAAUCAACAUCGCAUUACUAUCAUUACUGAGUUAAGGUAUUUGAAAUGAAAUAGCAUAUGAUCUUCUCUUUUCAAUUCAUAAUCUCUAACCAUUCAUAACCACAUAUAAAAGUAAAGUUUCCAUAAAUUGUUUCUUUCAUGUUUCCCAAGUUCCAAAUGGAACCGCCCUGACUCUGAAUCAGAAAAAGAAGGUUCAUUCUCAUCACAUCCACUAUUUUAAAGUGUUUUUAGGCAUGUAGGAUAUGAAGAUAGUCUUUACCAAUCAUUCUAUUUUUAAAUAAUGAAUUAACGUCUACCACGUAGAAAAAAUAACAAAGAUACGAAAACAUAUAAGCAAACACGUUAUAUCUAGUAACUAAGCUGCCGUGAUAGAGCAGAGUUGGAGCCACAGAAAUAAAAUUAGACAUAAUACUCAAACUUGAAAUGAUCUUCGCUAAUUCAUUCAAAAGACCCAUAUAUGCCACUAAUUCUCAUUUACUUACCAAGAUAAAGAAGUAAAUAAGUUAGGUAUCACCUAACUUCUUUAAUCAAAAUUUACCCAAUUUUGCUCAAUUUAUAACUUAGAAAGUUAAACAAUUAGCAAAUUAACUUUUAAUUAAAAAUUGAAGUAUUAACUUAAUUUAUUGUUAAAAGUUUGAAACAAGUAAGAUUAUUGCGGUAAAUUUAAAUUCUUCUCUUUCGGGGCUAAACCUGAAAAGAGGUUAAGAGUUACUUCUUUUUAUUCCAAACAUAUUAGGAUAACUUACUUACUUACUUCUCCCUUUUUUUUCUUUUUUUCAUUUUUUUUUCAUUUUUUUUUUUUUUAAGUACGAAAGCUACUUUUAAAGUAACUCAAAAUAAUUAACUACUUAUUAGUCCUAACUUUUCAUCGACCAUAAGUAAAUUUACCUAAAGCUAAACUUCUUAAUCUUAGCGAACAUGCACUAAACCGCACAAAACCCAGUAUUUAUACCAGCCUUCGAAAAUAGAUCACGCAGAUUAAAACGUUUUAAAGCCGUCAAGCAAAAUUUAUACAAUCCGAAAGUUCCUUUCAAGAUCAAAAUCAGUAAACCAACAGAAUCAUCAAAAGACAAAUACAUCAUACUGGCGCGAUGAUCAAAAGAAGCAAAAACCAUAUCAAAAACUCAAUUAAAAAACGAAUUCAAAUAACAAUAACAAUCAAAUCAUGUAAUUUCAAUUUUUAACUCACCUUCGAUUGAAGUAAAUGAAUUAUUGCUGCUUCUCUUUUUGUAAAGUUAGAGAGAGCUAGAAAACAACUGGGAGAAUAUUUGACAGUGAGAGGGGGGUAUGCGGAAACCUAUAUUCUCUGAGGUAAAAUGAAAUGAAAUGCAAAUGAAAAUCAAAUUGCGAUUAAAGGAAUUACUGGGGACCACGUGGCAAUGAAUUCAGCAAUACACUGGCAAUUAUUCCAACCU
rnacentral:lncRNA from 1 species